UAGAUGGAGGCCUGCAGGUUUAGGCAUCUAGCUGUUAACUAGAGUUUUGUGGGAUCGAGGCCCACCCGUCUAG
rnacentral:tRNA from 1 species